rnacentral:lncRNA from 1 species
AUGGAGCAUCCUAAAACUGCCGCAACAGAAGUGGUGGUGGAAUUCCUGAGCCGUUUUCCAGAGAAUCCCACCAUUUUCUGUUCACUCAUCUCUCCUCCCCAUCCUUCCUCUCUGGCAGCCAGGAUGGGCCUGGGAUGUGCUCCUGAUGGAAAGAGGGGCCCCUUCAGUAGAAGUGGAUGAGGUGAUAUGACCUGGCUUUUCCUGGCAGCCUGCUCAGAAGGUGAAGCUGUGGAAAAUGAAGCAUCUCCUUAUCUGGUACAAGGUCAUGCUGUGGGGAUACAGGCAUCUCUUCUGUGUCUUGUCAGCCUCAAAGAUGGGAAGACAUAGUGUGUUGUGGCCUGAUGCUGUUGGGAGGACCGACCCCAAACCAGAUUUUACAAAGACACACUAGCAAGGCUUCCAGGACUGGGAACUUGUGGAUAUGAGCACUGUGAGUACCUGUUCACACUGCUAUGAUUUUUGGUGUGUUGCAACACUUUCUGGAAGUGUUUAGAUAACUUAAUGGUCCAUUUAUGGCAUCUGAAGAGACAGGAUUUGACACACCUUAGUCAGUGCUUUGACGAGGAGAACUUUUGUAUUUAAUUAACUCUGCCCUGCAGUAAUGGGUGCGAGGCUGUGGAAGGCUGAGCAGGGAUAGGAAC